CCUACGGGAGGCAGCAGUGGGGAAUAUUGGACAAUGGGGGAAACACUGAUCCAGCGAAGCCGCGUGAGGGAAGAAGUAUUUCGGUACGUAAAGCUCUAUCAGCAGGGAAGAAAAUGAUGGUACGUGUCUAAGAAGCAGCGGCUCACUACGUGCCAGCAGCCGCGGUAAUACGUAGGGGGCAGGCGUUAUCCGGAUUUACUGGGUGUUAAGGGAGCGUAGACGGCGGCGAAAGUCUGGAGUGAAUGGCCGGGGACCAACCCCGGAACUGCCCUGGAAACUGUGAAGCUGGAGUGCAGGAGAGGUAAGCGGAAUUCCUGGUGUAGCGGUGAAAUGCGUAGAUAUCAGGAGGAACUCCGGCUGCGAAGGCGGCUUUCUGGACUGUAACUGACGUUGAGGCUCGAAGGCGUGGGGAUCAAACAGGAUUAGAUACCCGUGUAGUC
rnacentral:rRNA from 1 species